AUGGGCAAUCUGUGCUGCUGUGUUCAAGUUGACCAGUCCACCGUGGCCAUCAGGGAGCAGUUUGGGAAGUUUGACAGUGUGCUUGAGCCAGGAUGCCACUGCCUGCCUUGGAUCUUUGGGAAACGUGUAGUUGGCCAUCUCACACUCAGGUUGCAGCAGCUGGAUGUGCGCUGUGAAACUAAGACAAAGGACAAUGUGUUUGUCACUGUUGUUGCAUCGAUUCAGUACCGACCUCUGGCUGGCAAAGAAAGUGACGCAUACUACAAACUGACCAACACAAGAUCCCAGAUUCAAGCCUAUGUCUUUGAUGUGAUCAGGGCAAGUGUUCCAAAGCUCAACCUGGAUGAUGCUUUCGUGCAGAAGAACGAUAUAGCAAAGGCUGUGGAGGAUGAACUUGAAAAGGCUAUGUCGGCAUAUGGCUUUGAGAUCGUGCAGACCCUCAUUGUCGACAUCGAGCCAGAUGCGCAUGUCAAGCAGGCGAUGAAUGAGAUCAAUGCAGGUUAUUUGCUAAAGGCCUGGCAUGAUGAAAGUUGGACACUUGUACUUAAAUCUGGCCUCCAUCGUAUUACUGACAUGAUACUUGUGCCUUUUGCAGCUGCAAGGAUGAGGGUGGCUGCAAACGAGAAGGCGGAGGCUGAGAAGAUUGUCCAGAUCAAGCGUGCCGAGGGUGAAGCAGAGGCCAAGUACCUGUCUGGCCUCGGUAUCGCCCGCCAGCGCCAGGCCAUUGUGGAUGGCCUGAGGGACAGCGUCCUGGGCUUCUCAGUCAAUGUGCCUGGCACCACUGCAAAGGAUGUGAUGGACAUGGUGCUGAUCACCCAGUACUUCGAUACUAUGAAAGAGAUUGGCGCGUCCUCCAAGUCCUCGGCGGUGUUCAUCCCCCAUGGCCCUGGUGCGGUGCGCGACAUCGCCACGCAGAUCCGUGACGGUCUUCUUCAAGGCCAGUCUGCCUCUGACAACUAG
rnacentral:rRNA from 1 species